rnacentral:rRNA from 1 species
AGUGCCGGAUAGUGGCGAACGGGUAGAGUAAUGCAUGGGAACCUGUCUCUGAGAGGGGGACAACGUCUGGAAACGGGCGCUAAUACCCCAUAAAGCCUACGGGUAGAAAGGAGCGAUCUGCUCAGGGAGGGGCUCAUGUACCUAUACAGUUAGUUGGUAGGGGUAACGGCCUACCAAGGCGACGACGGGUAGCCGGCCUGAGAGGGUAGGACGGCCACACUGGAACUGAGAGACGGUCCAGACUCCUACGGGAGGCAGCAGUGGGGAAUAUUGGGCAAUGGGCGCAAGCCUGACCCAGCGACGCCGCGUGCGGGAAGAAGGCCUUUGGGUUGUAAACCGCUAGUUGUACGGGAAGAAGAAAGUGACGGUACCGUACGAGGAAGGUCCGGCUAACUACGUGCCAGCAGCCGCGGUAAUACGUAGGGACCGAGCGUUAUCCGGAAUUACUGGGCGUAAAGGGCACGCAGGCGGAUAUACAAGUCAGCUGUUAAAUACACGGGCUUAACCGGUGUAUAGCGGUUGAAACUGUAUAUCUAAGAGUACUGGAGAGGUAAGCGGAAUUCCCGGUGUAGCGGAGAAAUGCCGUAGAUAUCGGGAAGAACACC